GAUGAACGCUGGCGGCGUGCCUAAUACAUGCAAGUCGAGCGAACAGACGAGGAGCUUGCUCCUCUGACGUUAGCGGCGGACGGGUGAGUAACACGUGGAUAACCUACCUAUAAGACUGGGAUAACUUCGGGAAACCGGAGCUAAUACCGGAUAAUAUAUUGAACCGCAUGGUUCAAUAGUGAAAGACGGUUUUGCUGUCACUUAUAGAUGGAUUGCCGCCUCAUUACCUAGAUGGUAAGGUAACGGUUUACCAAGGCAACGAUCCUUAGCCAACCGAAAAGGGGAGCCGGCCAACAUGGAAUGGAACACGGGCCCCAACCCCUCAGGGAGGAAGAAGGAGGGAAUUUUCCCAAAGGGGCCAAAGCCCGACGGGGCAACCCGCGGGGGGGAAGGAAGGUCUUGGGACCGAAAAACUCUGUUAUUAGGGAAGAACAAAUGUGUAAGUAACUAUGCACGUCUUGACGGUACCUAAUCAGAAAGCCACGGCUAACUACGUG
rnacentral:rRNA from 1 species